GGAAGUAAAAGUCUAACAAGGUUUCCGUAGGUGAACCUGCGGAAGGAUCAUUAUUGUAUAACCGAGGUGCGAGGGCUGUCGCUGACCCGAAAGGUCGUGCACGCCCGAGUGCCCUCACACACAUCCAUCUCACCCCUAUGUGCACCACCGCGCGGGUCCCCCUUUGGCUUGUUCGGAGGGGGGCUUACGUUUUCACACAAACUUUGUAUGCAGUGUAGAAUGUAUUUUUUGUUUUUGCGAUCACGCAAUCAAUACAACUUUCAACAACGGAUCUCUUGGCUCUC
rnacentral:misc_RNA from 1 species